rnacentral:rRNA from 1 species
UACGGAGGGUGCAAGCGUUAAUCGGAAUUACUGGGCGUAAAGCGUGCGCAGGCGGUUUGUUAAGUCUGUUGUGAAAUCCCCGAGCUCAACUUGGGAAUUGCAAUGGAUACUGGCAGGCUGGAGUAUGGUAGAGGAAGGUGAAAUUCCCGGUGUAGCAGUGAAAUGCGUAGAGAUCGGGAGGAACACCAGUGGCGAAGGCGGCCUUCUGGACCAAUACUGACGCUCAUGCACGAAAGCGUGGGGAGCAAACAGG